CGCUUCCAUGCCUGUUCACUUCACACGACGACGACGAGGACGACGGUGGAGAUGGCUUAGACCUGGAGAAGGAAACGGAGGCGGAGGAGAGGGCGGAAAUCCUCAAAGACUGCUUUCUCCUCUUCGUGAUCUCAGCCGAGCCAAGAAGGUCGAUGUGGAGGUAGCGAAACCCAUAGUUUCAUGCAUCCCCGACCUAGAUUCUCAGUACGCAGACUUAUCAUCUACCGGACCUUUUUCUCCAGGGUGCUGGAAGACUUUUGACCUUGCUAAGAUGUUGAGUUGUUUACACAACAUGCUGGCCGAAAAUCUAUGGACAUGGAAGAUGUCAUACAUACUAUCAGGUAAUAUGCCACAUCAAACUCAGGCUCUCUUCUAAUUUGUGUGCUAUAUGUUUUGUACCGUAAUUCUAUAGUUUGACAUCCAUUCGACGAGUGCUGCUUUCUGUUAGAUUAAUUCAUCUUAACUAAGAUUUGUCCAUGCAUAAGAUUGUUAGCUUUCUUCCAUUUAAUAUUUAUGUUUUUGCGAUAUUUCUACAUCUUUUUUGCUUCCAGGGAAGAUAUUACUUGUUUACUUGUAUGUUAUCUCACAGUGAAAGUAAAUGUUUGUCUCCUUUCUGUAUAGCACUUUGGAUAAUGGUAAGAAGUAAUCUAUGUGAUGCCCCUCUUCCUGUUAAAAAGUCAACCAUAAGACAGAAUGAAACUACAAGUUUUUACUGCUGAUGAAGGCAAUCAAAGCAUAUUUACCGACAUUUUCCUUUUAAUUUCGUAUAAUUUACCCUUUAAUACUAAUGGCAUGCCAAGUGCAUGGGUUUCUGCCAAUGCAAGGUCUAGGAAGGCAAUAUACAUAAUAGGUUAUUUUCAUGAAUUGAGCCCUGAUCUCUCAGGACACAAAAGAGCAAUGUUGCUUGCCUUAGUUUUAUUGUUUAAUACUGUAAAAUUAAAAUUUCUCUUUGGCUUUACUUCUUUGGAGCUCUCAAUAAAUAUACUGGAGAAAUUCUUUGGCUCUAAUUUCUUUGAGACUCUCAAUAUAGAUAUGGGAUGGAUAGUAGAUUCUUCUUAAUAAUUUCUUAUUGUGGCCUGUAAACCUUUUCUUCUGGUAAAAACAACUGUCUGCUCACAUUCAUUAGAGUUGAGUUGCAACCUGUUGACUACCCUGAAAUUUUGAUGGCCAUAAAAUCAGCCAACAUUUGCAUAUAAGAAUAAUAUUUGCUUCUUAGUUCCUAUCAAAUCUCUGUGUGUUGGGUGCCACGAUUAUGUUCUGAACAUAAUUGGUACUUUGCAUAUUUGCUUUUUAUUACUUUUAUUAUUAAUUGUGGGAAAAUAAAUAUUUCCACUAUGUUUACAUGUGUCUCGCAAGAGAGGAACUAUCUUGAUAUAUUCCAUAGCGGUGCUAUCUUGAUAUAUUCAAAAGGAAAGAUGCAGUGUAAUGCUACUAUACUAAACUAUGUAUGUUUCUUGUCCUGUUUUAAAAGUUGGCAUAUUCUAUAGAUUCCAAAAUUUGUAGUUCAGAAUUCACAUCACCUAGAUAGGCUCUCUGGUGGUUUUGAGUGGGUGUACUGUUUGUUAUAUUGCUAACUUAGUUAGGUUUUAAGCUCCAAUCUAUGACAUUCCGUAUGAAUCACAAGCUGUUCCGUUUUUGGUUUUAGCACUGUGAUCAGGUAUCGACAUAUUCUGUGACGUCUGUCAUUUUGUAAAGGUUGUUGUUUGAAAGACUUGAUUUUCAUGCAUGAAGAUAUAACUUUUAUGCCUUAUCCAAUGACUUUUCAUGUGACUUGGCAGACUAUCAUUUCUGCUUUUGGUUUGUGAAGUGAGGUUUGAUUCAGCAUUUGAUGUCUGUCAAGCUGAAGUGGGUGUUCCUUGGGAUGCCCAGUGCUCUUGCCUUUCCAAUUAUCUUGUAUUUUGUUUUUGUUCAUCUUUAGAUGACAAAUCAUCCUUGAGGUAGUCUUUUCUAUUACGUUUGUGCAAUUGUUUUAUAGAAGCAGCUGAUAUCUUGAUUUGACAUAGAAGCAUCUGGCGUGGGGCUUGCAAGCUCAUAGACUUGUAGUAGUGAUUGAGAUGUAUCUGGUUGAUCAAGCUAUUGGAUUUGUGGAUAAAUGUGAAUUGGAUUGGGACAUUGUGGAGAAAGGUUGGUUGCAAAUGUAGAUAGAUGGGUGGAUGUGAUGUGGCAGUCAAAAAAAAAAAAAAAGGAAAAAAGAACUGUGUGGUGAGAUGAUGUGAUUGUUAUAUUUGAGCUGUUUGGUGGCUAUUAUUCAGUUGUCCUUCAUGCCCAAUUCUUCAAAGAAAACCUUGACCCUCAUUCUUAAUACAACUACUGUGGCAGUCUCAUGUCAUAUGCUUUUUUAGGUUUAUACCAUUGUAUAUGUAAUUCUUUAGCCUUUGCUUGGUACAUAUGAUUCUUAAUCCAGAGGUCACAAUAUGAGACUCAUUCCUUGCUUUUGCUUUCAUUUGAAUCAUAACAUUUAUAUUUCCUUGGAACUAAACUCUACUGUGGCAUUCCUUAAUUUUAAUUCUUCAUAUAACUAAUAUUUGCUUCAAUAAUUACAGCAUGCUUUGACUUUGUUGACCUGUAUGUAACCAAGCAGCAGAUCUGGAGAAAGAAAAGGACUACUACAUCUGUGUAAUUGGAUAAAAUGGAGACACGUGAUCUUGUACUUGAGUUUCAUGGAGCACAAAGAAGGGAACUCUGUAAAUUUCUCGAGGAGCUUCGUACUGUUUAACCGCAGAGGAAGAUGGGACGAUCUAAUUGCUUGUUGCUUGUUAGGGACCAGCAGCAUAAAUUUCAGAGAUGACCUUCUAUUGGAUGCAAUGGUACCACCCCACCUGCUCGAGUUAUGGAUGCCAGAAAAGAAAAUUAACAGGUAUGACAAAACCAGUCUACAAUUGCACCAGUAUGCAGGUAUGUCAUCUACAGCUUAAAUUCCUUCAUAAUUAAUGUGACAUAAGCCUCAAAUUUGAAUUCAAAGAGCUACUCUUUAUCAGUCCUUUCUCUCAGAGACUCUAGUGCAGGUAUCAGGAAUCAUGUAGUAAAACUAAAGGCAGAAAGAGCCGACGUUGGAUCCCAGCACAUGUUUCAUGCUUCCUCGUUUUAGGGCUGCACGACGUUCCCGGACCACCCAGAGGUGACGAGGAUAACGAAAAGAAGACCGGGAGGCGCUACAAGACAAAGGGCCGGGCUGAGCUUUAAGCGAAACCCGAUGCGGGCACCCACUGGUGCACCCAUCACUCGCGCACCGAAGCCCUCCAAAUCAUUUCCCGUCGCUUAUUUAAACGCGGCUGAGCCAGGAAACGGGAAAGGGGGUCACCGGGUGCACCACCCACGAGGCGAGCGUGUCAUCUGAUCUUUUUCUUUUGCAUACAGCCCGGAGAAAGAAAAAGCAAUGUCUUUAUCUGCUUUGUUAUGUUCCGGCUUAUUCUGGCGUGGUAUUAUGAAAUAGGCGCCUCAGGUUUUACACGGAGAUGCUAAUUGAUCGAUCAUUAUAUCAUAAAAAAUAUACAGGACUAUGAAAUUUAAUUUCUUAAGCACAUGAGAUAAUAUGAGAGAGCAAAAAAAAAACAAGGUUCAUUGCAA